AGUUUGAUCCUGGCUCAGAACGAACGCUGGCGGCAGGCUUUACACAUGCAAGUCGAGGGGGCAAUUUAUUGUCACCGGCAGACGGGUGAGUAACACGUGGGAACGUACCUUUUGGUUCGGAAUAGCUCAGGGAAACUUGGGAUAAUACCGAAUAAGCUCUUCGGAGGAAAGAUUUAUUGCCGAAAGAUCGGCCCGCGUUAGAUUAGCUAGUUGGUGAGGUAAUGGCUCACCAAGGCGACGAUCUAUAGCUGGUCUGAGAGGAUGAUCAGCCACAUUGGGACUGAGACACGGCCCAAACUCCUACGGGAGGCAGCAGUGGGGAAUAUUGGACAAUGGGGGAAACCCUGAUCCAGCCAUGCCGCGUGAGUGAUGACGGCCUUAGGGUUGUAAAGCUCUUUUACUCGGGAAGAUAAUGACUGUACCGAGAGAAUAAGCUCCGGCUAACUUCGUGCCAGCAGCCGCGGUGAUACGAAGGGAGCUAGCGUUGUUCGGAUUUACUGGGCGUAAAGAGUUCGUAGGCGGACCAUUAAGUCGGAGGUGAAAUCCCAGGGCUCAACCCUGGAAUUGCCUUCG
rnacentral:rRNA from 1 species